ACCACAUCCAGCCCUGGAGGCUGAUUCGAUGGAGCCGCAGGAGGGCUCCUUUGGGGACACGUUCAGAAAAGCCCCAAAGGGGCCCUGGAGGAGAGCACGUGGAUCCACACACUUUCCGGCACUGGCAAAGGAAGUAGAUGGCGAAGUUAUUUUUCUUUUGGUGAAGAGUGGAUGGUUUCAAAUAAAUCACUGCUUCAUCCCGCACCCUAAGACAACGCUCCAGAAAUGGGAGGUGUGGGCCUGCUUUGCAAGAGUUCCCCUGCUAAAAUAUUAGAGUUUGGACCGGAUGAUGUUAGAUGUUGUACCUAGUCCUGCUACGGAAGAGAACGCUUAUUGCAGAUCUGGCAGCUGACUCAAUGCAAAUGUUACCACCAACAGGAACCACAAAGAAACCUAGGUCAGUAAUAUGCUCUUGUACAACAUGUCUCAAUAGCUUUCCCACCAAUCAUCCUGUGCUGGCCUCUGAAAUUUAACCCUUUCUAACAUCCAAAUAUUGAAAAGCUGCAGACUUGCACAUCUGGAACUGAGUGAUCUGAGUUUUGCUUGCGAAUCUCACUCUAGCCUUC
ensembl:lncRNA